rnacentral:misc_RNA from 1 species
GGAGGAGGCGGUUGGUCGGGAGGGUUCUUCUUUUUCGGCCUGCUAGCAUUUCUUGGUUUCUUGAACGAUAAAGAAAGUGAGGGUCCUUAUCGAGAUAGUAGGCGAAGAUGAGGCGCUCUAUUAUUGUGCUGGUAUAUCUGAUACUGUGCCUAUCCAUGCAUAUUUGCUGCUUUUAUAUUAUAAGGCACAAUUGUUGUCAUCUAAAUCCGCUUUAUUACUUUUAUGAUAUGUUGC